GCACACCUCACACGGCACACAGGCACACCUCACACAUGGCACACAGGCACACCUCACAGACGGCACACAGGCGCACCUCACACACGGCACACAGGCACAUCUCACACACGGCACACAUGCACACCUCACACACACGGCACACGGGCACACCUCACACACACGGCACACGGGCACACCUCACACACACGGCACACAUGCACACCUCACACACGGCACACAUGCACACCUCACACACACGGCACACGCACACCUCACACACGGCACACAUGCACACCUCACACACGGCACACAUGCACACCUCAGACACACGGCACACGGGCACACCUCAGACACACGGCACACGGGCACACCUCACACACAUGGCACACGGGCACACCUCACACACACGGCACACAUGCACACCUCACACACACGGCACACGGGCACACCUCACACACACGGCACACGGGCACACCUCCCACACACGGCACACGGGCACACCUCAAACGACACACAGGCACACCUCACACACAAGUCUAUUCAGCUGCAAGUCCUGCCUCCACUUGCUGAGAACCUGCAUGACUGGGCACCAAGGAUACGGCACACACACACACCCACCCCACAUACAUACAGUCCACACACACACAACACAUAUACACCACACGCACCACAGAUGCACACCACACAUGCCACACACACAUACACUGCACACGCACCCUACACACACACCCCACAUGCUUACACAUACACCUCACCCCCCACCCCCAACAUAUGGGCCUACACACGAGUCCAUCCAGCUGCAUGUCCUGCCACCACUUGCUGAGAACCUGCGUGACUGGGCACCAAGGACACAAAA
rnacentral:lncRNA from 1 species